CUUUAAAGUCAAUGAGGCCUUGAUAUGACCAGUCGCUCUUAAAGGACACACAGCUGGGUUCAGGUUCAGGUUCAGGUUCAGGUUCAGGUUCAGGAGACUCUGGUCUCUGCUGGGUCCUGAUAGAAAAACACAUUUAUUGAGGGUCACAUGUUCAGUUAAAGUCU